UGUGGCGUGCUCAAGCCCCUAUGAUUUAUUUUAAGUAGAUACGUAUAGAUUAUAUAUAGUUAGUCUAUAUUUACAUUUUUAAAUUUUCAAGUGAUGUCUAAGUCUAGCAGGUCGAGCACAACAGGAAUUAAGUUAUCAGUAUCAACAGGAAGUUUACUUCGUGGGAUAAAAAACCACUCCCCGACCUGGUUAUAUAAGAGGAGAAUUUAAGAACUGCUAAGCUAAGCACAAUAAUUCGAUGCUGGUUUAAAGCAACAUUGUAUGCAUGAACAUGCAGUUGCUAAACGGAAACCAUUAUAGAAGAACAAGGUAGAAAAAACAGCAACUUGUCUCACAAAUCGAGGUUUUACUUGUCAAUGGCAAUGAAUUCUAUAUCAUCCGUAUGGAGAAGCAGCAUAACGGAAGUUCCAGGAGAUAUAUUUCAGCGAUGUACUUCAGAAAGCUGUGAGUGCGGAGGUAAACUGUUUCAUUGCCCACUAUGUACUCCAACGAAAAUCAAAGGAUUGAAACGAUGCAAGUUGCUUAAACAUGCAUUUUCAUGCUAUUCACUGGAAAACAAGAAUCUCUUUUGACGAAUUUGUCAUUUUAAGAUGUCGGCUUGAAUGCAUUUCCUCAGACGGAAGCAUGGUUAACAAUGUUUCGCAUUUUCACUGUUGCUCCUGUGAUAGAAUUUUCGAGCGAACUGACUCGUUUACUAAUCAUUUGUAUUCCCACAAGAGGCAAACUCUUGCUCGCGACGAAUCACUUACGGGACAGUCGCAAACAUCUGACUUACAGGAUCGUGAAUCGCGCACGAGUUCAAGCGACAUUAAUAACCAGCAAGGUACUUUAGAGUGCGAGUCGUGUUUGAAAUGUUUUUCAUCCAAAAAAUCACUUCGGAACCACAUAAAAUACAUUCAUGUCACACCCGAUUACAUAAAUGCUAACAGACAUCUUUACGGAGUUUGCGUUGAUUCGCG